AUUGAACGCUGGCGGCAUGCCUUACACAUGCAAGUCGAGCGGUAGAGAGGUGCUUGCAUCUCUUGAGAGCGGCGGACGGGUGAGUAAUGCCUAGGAAUCUGCCUAGUGGUGGGGGAUAACGUUCGGAAACGGACGCUAAUACCGCAUACGUCCUACGGGAGAAAGCGGGGGAUCUUCGGACCUCGCGCCAUUAGAUGAGCCUAGGUCGGAUUAGCUAGUUGGUGAGGUAAUGGCUCACCAAGGCGACGAUCCGUAACUGGUCUGAGAGGAUGAUCAGUCACACUGGAACUGAGACACGGUCCAGACUCCUACGGGAGGCAGCAGUGGGGAAUAUUGGACAAGUGGGCGAAAGCCUGAUCCAGCCAUGCCGCGUGUGUGAAGAAGGUCGUUCGGAUUGUAAAGCACUUUAAGUU
rnacentral:rRNA from 1 species